GUUCUUUGCAGAGUGCACACUAUACAAACACUGGCUAACGUGUAGCACUUAAAACAGGUAAAAAAAAGAAAAAAAAGAAAAGAAAAAAAAAGAGAUUCUCCUAAGAUUACAAUAAACAAAAGCAACUGGAAAAUCCUUACCUUCCCAGAAGUCCAUAGGCAUACUGAGAAUCAGCCAGCAGUAAUGUGAUCUCCCCCUUCUGCAUGGACAUGACACACUCCUCUAGAGCCUACAGAUUUCAAAGCUAAAUGAGUGAGCUUGUAGAAGUGUAACUCCUCAACUGUCACCUGGAAAAUGCCUACAUGUAAUCCAAUGGAACUAUAACGAGACCAGUGUCCUCAUGACAUUUAAAAGGUUUUAACCCAGACUUUUUGUGAUCCAGACCAUUAGAGCUGCAGUCACAAAUGAACAAGUGGGAGGUCUUGAGUUGCCAUAAAUUUUAGAGGAGAUGAAAACAGUCGGUUCAUUUAAAAAGAAGCAAUGCAGUAGCUGGGAAAACUGUUUAUGGCAUCAUUGUCCCUCUUUCUCAUUGACUUGGUAGAAAAGUUUGCAUUCAACCGAUUGUCUGUGUCAUGAGAGUCUUCCAUUGUUAUUUUGUGGGUCAGAAUCUACAAAGUUUGUGAAGCCCUGGUCCAGACUAUCUUUUAUUUGGCAAGAAGACAAUGUACCAUUAUGAGCAAGUAACUACCCUAAAACCUUGGUGAGAAAAUCAUUUCUACCUCUGAAUAUUUUGUAAAAGCUUUUAAUGGGGGUUUGUACGCCAUCUCAAAAAGUCACAAAGUGUUUUAUUUCCCUAUUUUCAAGGUCUGCAUGAGUAUACAUGUAGACAUGUAGAAGAGAAUAUUUAGAUUUAUAUUCCCUUCUAAAAUGUUUGAAAAUCUAUAAAGGAGUUAGUCCAAACAGAGCCCAUUUCUGCCUCGAAAAUGGUUGCAUGCUGGUUAAUCCAUGCAGGCACCUGUAGAUGUUUACUCGGGUAAGGGAACAGAUGAAGACAAUGUUACAUGUUUUUAGGACUAUAAACAUGUAAGUAAUGCAGCAGAGAAGUGCCUUUGGUAUUUUAAAUCACUUUUGCAUUUUACAUUUUAAGUCUGAACAAUGUCAAAAUAGUUGCUGUAGAUUUGACUUGAACCUUUUAAAGGAAUUUAUUAAAAAUAGGACAAUACAUCAGAAAAUUUGACAUCUUCAUAUUGUUGAAAUUUGAAAUCCUCAACGUCUGACCCAGAUGUUUCAGGAGAUUAAAAAAGCCCUCAUCUUUCUAAAGUCAAAGGAUCUAGUUAAAAUUGAACCACCUUUUUGAUUCUUUUCAUUGCAUUUUUUUUUUACUGAAACGUAAAAAGAUUUUUAAGGUUGACUAAUAGAUUUGAUUUUGACAAAAAAAAAAAAAAAAUCCAAGUGACCAACAUUCGAGUCAUGAAGAUUCAUGUCCAACAGCAACAUAUUGAAAAAUGUAUUGGAACAGUGUUUAGAAAGCAGUUCUCACUUUAAUUACCUGUCAGUCUGAAUAACACUUUUGUUACUUCCAUAUUUAAAGAAUUACAAACAUCCCUCAGCUGAUAUUAUUAAGCCUGUGCUGUGAGAACAUGACUAUACAGAUUUGUUUACAUUUUUGAGGCAACACAAACACACACACAAACACAAUAGGAUCUUUCAAGAAAAACACUGGAGUAUCACCUGUAUUACAUCUCCCUCUCCGAUAACAAAGACAAGUUUGCAGUCCUUCUCCACCACAGUCCGGUCCUCAAGAACACCCUGCAUCUUCACAGUGACUUCUUGACCCCAGGUGGAGCGCAGGACCUGUUGGUCUCCUGAUUCCAGAAUUUUCUUCCUCAACAGCCGGUCCUCUGCAUAAAAUCAGAGUAAGCGUGUUCUGGAAAGAGAAUCUCUGCUGAGCUGUCCCUCUCCACAACAUCCUCUUCUGUCGAGGGGUCUUGAAACCGGACCAUCUUCCAGCUAGUUCUUCACCUUGUUCUGGAGGCCCACAAGGCAGUUUGUUCAGAUGAUCGCAGUCUGCAGGUUCAGAAACGCAUUCCGCUACUUCAGGCUCUGUGGGAUCCAACACACCAUCCCUCUGCUCUUCACAACAUGGC